rnacentral:rRNA from 1 species
AGAGCGAACGCUGGCGGCAGGCCUAACACAUGCAAGUCGAGCGCCCCGCAAGGGGAGCGGCAGACGGGAGAGUAACACGUGGGAACGUACCCUUCAGUUCGGAACAACCCAGGGAAACUUGGGCUAAUACCGGAUACGUCCGUAAGGAGAAAGAUUUAUCGCUGAAGGAUCGGCCCGCGUCUGAUUAGCUAGUUGGUGGGGUAAUGGCCCACCAAGGCGACGAUCAGUAGCUGGUCUGAGAGGAUGAUCAGCCUCAUUGGGACUGAGACACGGCCCAAACUCCUACGGGAGGCAGCAGUGGGGAAUAUUGGACAAUGGGCGCAAGCCUGAUCCAGCCAUGCCGCGUGGAUGAUGAAGGCCUUAGGGUUGUAAAGUCCUUUCGGCGGGGAAGAUAAUGACGGUACCGCAGAAGAAGCCCCGGCAACUUCGUGCCAGCAGCCGC